rnacentral:rRNA from 1 species
UACGUAGGGUGCGAGCGUUGUCCGGAAUUAUUGGGCGUAAAGAGCUCGUAGGCGGUCUGUCGCGUCGAUCGUGAAAACUUGGGGCUUAACCCUGAGCUUGCGGUCGAUACGGGCAUGACUGGAGUUCGGCAGGGGAGACUGGAAUUCCUGGUGUAGCGGUGAAAUGCGCAGAUAUCAGGAGGAACACCGGUGGCGAAGGCGGGUCUCUGGGCCGAGAUUGACGCUGAGGCGCGAAAGCCAGGGGAGCAAACGGG